GUCAGGUAUUGCAGUAGGAAGUCUUUGUCAGCUUAAUGCUGAAGCCAAGAGUAGCACAAGGUACCACAUUCUUGUGCCCACGACAGGCUUUUAUAAUCCUUCUGAGUUCUCUUUGACAUCAAGCCCCACGUUGUUCCCCAGUCUCAAUAUUCUGUUGGAGGCAGCCACGUAACAAUUAGAGUUGAAACCUGCCCCACGUUGUUCCCCAGUCUCAAUAUACUGUUGGAGGCAGCCACGUAACAAUUAGAGUUGAAACCUGCCCCACGUUGUUCCCCAGUCUCAAUAUACUGUUGGAGGCAGCCACAUAACAAUUAGAGUUGAAACCUGCCCCACGUUGUUCCCCAGUCUCAAUAUUCUGUUGGAGGCAGCCACGUAACAAUUAGAGUUGAAACCUGCCCCACUUUGUUCCCCAGUCUCAAUAUUCUGUUGGAGGCAGCCACGUAACAAUUAGAGUUGAAACCUGCCCCACAUUGUUCCCCAGUCUCAAUAUUCUGUUGGAGGCAGCCACUUAACAAUUAGAGUUGAAACCUGUCUGCCAUCCUUUGUCUCAAUGUUUGAGGAUGUAUGCAGUGUUUUUGGCAGCGAUUAUAGGAAUGCAGUUGUUUAUUUGGCCUCAGCAGUUUAUUUAUGGCUGCAAUUAAUAUCCCUGAUCAUGGGCUUUUAAACCUAAAAUAGUUCAGAUCCUCCCUUGUUCC
rnacentral:lncRNA from 1 species